rnacentral:rRNA from 1 species
AGAAUCAACGCUGGCGGCGUGCCUAACACAUGCAAGUCGAACGAGAAAGUGGAGCAAUCCAUGAGUAAAGUGGCGACCGGGUGAGUAACACGUGACUAACCUACCUUUCAGUGGGGAAUAACCUCGGGAAACCGGGCUAAUACCGCAUAAUGUCUUCGGACCAAAGGAGCAAUUCGCUGGAAGAGGGGGUCGCGGCCGAUUAGCUAGUUGGUGAGGUAAUGGCCCACCAAGGCAAUGAUCGGUA